GCCAGCAUAGUAUAAUGGUUUGGAUGUUGAACUAUGGCUCUGGAGGCCAGGGUUCGAAUCCUGGCUUGGCC